rnacentral:rRNA from 1 species
CACGUAGGGCGCAAGCGUUGUCCGGAAUUAUUGGGCGUAAAGAGCUCGUAGGUGGUCUGUUGCGUCCGCUGUGAAAUCUCAGGGCUUAACCCUGAGCCUGCAGUGGAUACGGGCAGACUAGAGGUAGGUAGGGGAGAAUGGAAUUCCCGGUGUAGCGGUGAAAUGCGCAGAUAUCGUUUGGAACGCCAAAGGUGAAAACAGACAGCUGGGAGUGUGCUGACGCUGAGACACGAAAGCCAGGGGAGCGAACGGG